rnacentral:rRNA from 1 species
UUUAAGGUCUAACCUGCCCAAUGAGGAUUUAAAUGGCCGCAGUAUUUUGACUGUGCAAAGGUAGCAUAAUUAUUAGUUUUUUAAUUGAAAGCUUGUAUGAAGGGUUGGACGAGAUAAAAUCUGUCUUUAUUUAAAUUAUAGUAGAAUUUAACUUUUAAGUCAAAAGGCUUAAAUUUAUAUAAAAGACGAGAAGACCCUAUAGAUCUUUAUUUAAUAAAAAUUUUGAUAAUUUAGGAUUAAUUUAGUUCAAAGUUUUUAUUGAAUUUUAUUGGGGUAAUAUAAAGAUUAAAAAAAUUCUUUUUAUUUAUAACAUUAAUUUAUGAAUAUAUGAUCCAAUAUUAUUGAUNAUAAGAUUAAGUUACCUUAGGGAUAACAGCGUAAUUUUUUUGGAGAGCUCAUAUCGAUAAAAAAGUUUGCGACCUCGAUGCUGGAUUAAAAAUUAGCUUGGGUGCAGAAGCUCAAGAUUUUGGUCUGUUCGACCAUUAAAUUUUUACAUGAUCUGAGUUCAGACCGGCGUAAGCCAGGUCGGUUUCUAUCUUUAUUUAAUUAAAAUAUUUUAGUACGAAAGGACCAAGUAUUUAAUAUAAUUAUAUUUAUUUUUUGAAUAAUAUU